rnacentral:rRNA from 1 species
UACAGAGAGUGCAAACGUUGUUCGGAAUUACUGGGCUUGAAGCGCACGUAGGCGGCGUUGUAAGUGUCGGGUGAAAUCCCACGGCUCACCCGUGGAACUGCCCGGCAUACUGCGAUGCUAGAGUGUGGUAGGGGAGAGCGGAACUCCUGGUGGAGCGGUGAAAUGCGUAGAUAUCAGGAGGAACACCGGUGGCGAAGGCGGCUCUCUGGUCCACAACUGACGCUGAGGUGCGAAAGCCAGGGGAGCAAACGGG